CUUCGUAAUUGGUAGGAAGUUUGAAUAUAAAGGCCUACAAAAACAUCGAGAAAAUUUAUUUAUCCUUCAAGAAAAUAAGGGGAAAGUGGAGAGAACUAUGACCAGAAUAUGAAGAAAGAAGCACUCAUGGCAGAGUGUCUGCUGGACAAGAGUUGGAGCCAUAGAUAGAGGAAAUCAAAUUUAAAAAUUGUGGCUGAAGAAGGGGUGCUGAGGAGAUGAAAAUCUAUAUAUCAACCCUGCUACUUUGUUUUGAGAAUGAAGUGGGAUAAUGUAUAUUAGAGCUUCAUGCAAGGAUUAUUAUUAUUAUCAAAUGUAUUUUUCCUAUGGAAGAAGUUAACUUGAAACCCUGAAGGGGCUGACUGCUUCAGCAAAGAAUUCCUGUCACAACAUUAAAGAAAUAUGGACAGUCUUCAGUGAUGAAAUUGAUAAUGAACAAAAAUGAAAAUAAAACCAUGGUUAAUCAAAAAAGACACAGGAAGAAGAACAAAUUAGGGUUUAGAAGUGAGGAAAAUCUAUUAAGUAGUCACUUAUAUAAGAGUUAUAUAGUUGGCACUAUGUUGUGGAGUCCAACUUGACAGUCCUUCAGGCAAUGACAUACAAAUGACUAACCUCCCCCAGGCCCCAACCCCGAGCCCAGCACAUGUCCUCUCUAUGGGAUUAGCCCUGAAUGAAUGGCCUUACCUAAUUUAAACAUGAUACUUCCUUUCAGCUCUUAAAUUUCUCUCAUCAAUUUGUACUGAUUAAUUUUUGGGUUUGAUCUGGCCUAGUGUUUUAGGGACUACACAUGGAUCUUUCUCAGUGACUUCACUCCUAGAAACACAUUCACAGAAAUACAGGAAAAAUAGCUAUCUUGAUGCGAACUGGCUUUCAGGGUGGAAUGUCCGCCAGAUUUGUCUUAGGCUAGCAGUCAGGACUCUUGAACUGGUGUGGUAAAGUCUUACCACUGUUUUAUCAGUUAAUGCUGAUUGACUUAAUACUGUAGUGACUGCUACAAGAAGCUAAAGGAAAACACACGUCUUGAGAAUAAUAGUAUUGAUAUCCUUUAGACUUGCGUAAAGAAAUUUUAAAAGAAGAAAUAUUACCUAAAAGUAGCUCUACUUAUGUCUUCUUAUGCGCUCAUAGACUUGGCUAACUCUGUCUUUUGCUAUUGGGGUAGUAGUCUGUUUACACUAAAAUGGAAACCAUUAUUAAAGGAGUAAAUGUGAUAAUUGGCUUUCUCUGCUUGACUUAUCUCACUUAGCAUAAUCUCCUCCAGUUCCAUCCACAUUGAUGCAAAAGUUGGGUAUUCAUCCUUUCUGAUGG